CAGAGUGCUGGGAUUAAAGGUGUGC
rnacentral:piRNA from 1 species